rnacentral:rRNA from 1 species
ACACAUGCAAGUCGAGGGGCAGCAUGAACUUAGCUUGCUAAGUUUGAUGGCGACCGGCGCACGGGUGAGUAACACGUAUCCAACCUGCCGAUGACUCGAGGAUAGCCUUUCGAAAGAAAGAUUAAUACCCGAUGGCAUAGUUCUUCCGCAUGGUGGAACUAUUAAAGGAUUUCGGUCAUCGAUGGGGAUGCGUUCCAUUAGGUUGUUGGCGGGGUAACGGCCCACCAAGCCUUCGAUGGAUAGGGGUUCUGAGAGGAAGGUCCCCCACAUUGGAACUGAGACACGGUCCAAACUCCUACGGGAGGCAGCAGUGAGGAAUAUUGGUCAAUGGACGAGAGUCUGAACCAGCCAAGUAGCGUGAAGGAUGACUGCCCUAUGGGUUGUAAACUUCUUUUAUACGGGAAUAAAGUGAGGCACGUGUGCCUUUUUGUAUGUACCGUAUGAAUAAGGAUCGGCUAACUCCGUGCCAGCAGCCGCGGUAAUACGGAGGAUCCGAGCGUUAUCCGGAUUUAUUGGGUUUAAAGGGAGCGUAGGCGGACGCUUAAGUCAGUUGUGAAAGUUUGCGGCUCAACCGUAAAAUUGCAGUUGAUACUGGGUGUCUUGAGUACAGUAGAGGCAGGCGGAAUUCGUGGUGUAGCGGUGAAAUGCUUAGAUAUCACGAAGACUCCGAUCGCGAAGGCAGCCUGCUGGACU